rnacentral:piRNA from 1 species
UUCUAAUGCUACUCGGGCCUCAGGGG